rnacentral:rRNA from 1 species
UACGUAGGGACCGAGCGUUGUCCGGAAUCAUUGGGCGUAAAGAGCGUGUAGGCGGCCACUUAAGUCCUGCGUGAAAUCUUGCGGCUCAACCGCAAGCGGUCGUGGGAAACUGGGUGGCUAGAGUGCGGGAGAGGAGAGUGGAAUUCCUGGUGUAGCGGUGGAAUGCGCAGAUAUCAGGAGGAACACCAGUGGCGAAGGCGGCUACCUGGACCAGCAUUGACACUCAAGCACGAAAGCGUGGGGAGCAAACAGG